UUUCCUCUUCAAAGUCAUUAUUUUAUUGAUUACAUGUUUAUCUAGUGCUCUACUUUGCACUCUUACCUUGUAGUGAAGAAUAUUUAAAUAUCUGAUGAAGGCAGAGACAAGAUGCGUGAGCUCUCUCUCCUUCACCUAAGAAGACAAAAGAACCAGCUCUUCGACAUUGUGGGAAUUCCUGACAUGAGAAUUUGGUCAGCAAUGUUGCUGGGAACCUGUGGAAUUGGAAGAGGGUCUGGCCUUGGACUAUCAUGCUGGGAAAAGGAGUGGAGAAGCAGAAGACUUUAAUGUUACUAUCAUCCAAUAAACAUCUAUUUCUAAAAUACCUAAGGUCAUCUUGGAUCCACUUGGAAGGAAAGAAGUUUCAAUGAGCAAUUCAGAGAGCUCAAAGCAAACCGAUGAUUUUCAUUUACGAUAUCGCAUAAGCCUCCUAUGAACUGAAUUCACAUUGACUUCAGUGGGAGUUCUUUGCAUGGAGGGAUAGGAAUGUAAGACUAAAACCAAAAAUGUUUAAAGUGAAUGUGAAUCUGCAAGUGGAAAAGGCAGGGCAGCUGUUGAUCAGUACAAAAGAUGUUCACUAAUUCUCCUGUCAUUGAUCUGGUAGCCUAUGUCACUUUGCUUUUCCACGGAGAUUUAAUAGCAGAUCAAGGUGUGUGU